ACACACACUACAUUCAUUACACUGACGCACUCUGCAUUCACUACACACUAACAUACACUCUGCAUUCACUAUACUGACACACACUCUGCAUUCACUACACUAACAUACACUCUGCAUUAACUGUACACACAGCAUCCACUACACAAACAUCCUGUAUUCACAGUACACACACUACAUCCACCACAAAUUGAAACACUCUGCAUUCACUAUACACAGACACUGCGUCUGAUACACACACUACAGACACUGCCUCCACUAAACACAUUUCAUCUAGUACAUACAAACACUACAUCCACUACACAAACACACACUACAUCACUGUACACACACUACAUCCACUACUCAAAAACACUCUGCGUUCACUAUACACACUGCAUCCGAUACACAAACACACACUCUGCAUUCAUUGCACAAACAGUAUCUAAUACACACAAACACUACAUCCAUUACACACAUUCUAAUUCACUUCCACUAUACACACACCACAUUCAGUCCUGCAUCAUUGUGAGCAGACUAGGUAGGGCGUGGGCGGGCCCGCGAGGAGGGGGG